ACACGAGAAACCCAAAGCAACAAUAACAACGGCGUAAAAUGUGGUUAAACCAAAUUCAUAAAAACCUAAGGUUGCCCCUUCCACCAAACUGUCAUACGUAAAGUACAAAUCAACCCAAUACGAAAGUAACCUUAAUAUAUUAGAAAACUUGAAUCCACGAUCGUUAAGACACAAACUGGGAUUAGAUACCCCACUAUGCUUAACCCUAAACUUAGAUACUUUAAAUACAAAAUUAUCCGCCAGAAAACUACGAGCAAAACGCUUAAAACUCCAAGGACUUGGCGGUACCUCAAAUCCACCUAGAGGAGCCUGUUCUAUAAUCGAUAAUCCACGAUAAACCUCACCAUCCUUUGCCAACUCAGCCUAUAUACCACCGUCACAGCCUACCUUAUGAAAGUCAAAAAGUAAGCUCAAUAGCUGUUACAGCUAAAAAGUCAGGUCAAGGUGUAGCCAAUUAAGAUGGAAGAAAUGGGCUACAUUUUCUAUAAUAGAAAUCAAAACCACGGAACAGAACUGUGAAACACAGUCUAGAUUAAGAAGGAUUUAGCAGUAAAUUGCGAGCAGAGAGCCCAAUUUAAAGCGGACCUGAGGUGCGCACACACCGCCCGUCACCCCCAUCAACCAACAAAUACUCAACCGUAAAUAACACCUUAUCCAACACAAACAGACAGGGC
rnacentral:rRNA from 1 species